CUCGUUCUCCCCUGUGAGUUUUCCAUGUUUCUACUACCACCACCAUUGUUAUCAUCAAGAUCAAAAUCAAACCCUUAUUGUCUUCGUCGAGGAACAAAGAUGUAGAUUAUCAAACAGAAUCAAUAAAUGGGUUUGUUUUAGUUAAGGUUUGGAAUUGGCUCAUUAAUGGAUUCGAGUUUCAUGGAUUAGGGUUUCUAAUAAAUUGGGGAUUUAGGCUUCAUGGAUUUGAAUUACAGAUGAAAAAGAUGAAACUUAUGAUGAAAAAGAUGAAACUGAUGGUGAGAAACUAAAAGAAGAAGAUUGAGUUUGUGUUCUGAGGCGCCAUCCAAAUUCUCGUGCUUUGGAUGUAUACAAGGAGGUUGAGGAGUUGCUGAAAGAAGAACCACAUGUGGAGUUCAGUGGCGAGGUUCCAAGAAGGUCAUGGAUGUAUGGAGGCAAAGCUCUUGACCUUAGAAGACAACAAUCUCGUUCAUAGGCAAAAGCAGUAAUCACCCCUUGAUAUGCUGCUGCAAAAGAAAGCCUUCUCACAUAGACUUAGGAUUUUGAUUUUCAGGAAUUGGAAAAGGAACAUACUGCGGAAGGUGUACAAGCAGCUGAAAGCUUUGUGGUCCUUGAAGGCUACAAGUAGUUGGGAGGGAACCUCAGAUUGAUAAAAUAUUGAUGAUUCCUUUGUAUAGUUGGGAUUUAGGAGGGAAUCACAACUGGAAACUGGACUGUAACACUCCCUCCCUGCUCACCCUAUGUUUCUCUACUGAGAUUUCUUUAUUUGGCUGUUACUUGUCAUUAUUUGAAAGCAAAACAAUUUAGGAAAGAACUCUAUGUUUGCUAUUAGUUACAUCCUUUCUCAUUCCUUAUAAACCGAAGAGUAAACCCAUGUAUGCCUUCUUUUGAAUUGGAAGAUUUCUUUGUUCAAUAAUAAAC